rnacentral:rRNA from 3 species
AAAUUGAAGAGUUUGAUCAUGGCUCAGAUUGAACGCUGGCGGCAGGCCUAACACAUGCAAGUCGAACGGUAACAGGAAGCAGCUUGCUGCUUCGCUGACGAGUGGCGGACGGGUGAGUAAUGUCUGGGAAACUGCCUGAUGGAGGGGGAUAACUACUGGAAACGGUAGCUAAUACCGCAUAAUGUCGCAAGACCAAAGAGGGGGACCUUCGGGCCUCUUGCCAUCGGAUGUGCCCAGAUGGGAUUAGCUAGUAGGUGGGGUAACGGCUCACCUAGGCGACGAUCCCUAGCUGGUCUGAGAGGAUGACCAGCCACACUGGAACUGAGACACGGUCCAGACUCCUACGGGAGGCAGCAGUGGGGAAUAUUGCACAAUGGGCGCAAGCCUGAUGCAGCCAUGCCGCGUGUAUGAAGAAGGCCUUCGGGUUGUAAAGUACUUUCAGCGGGGAGGAAGGCGGUGAGGUUAAUAACCUCAUCGAUUGACGUUACCCGCAGAAGAAGCACCGGCUAACUCCGUGCCAGCAGCCGCGGUAAUACGGAGGGUGCAAGCGUUAAUCGGAAUUACUGGGCGUAAAGCGCACGCAGGCGGUCUGUCAAGUCGGAUGUGAAAUCCCCGGGCUCAACCUGGGAACUGCAUUCGAAACUGGCAGGCUAGAGUCUUGUAGAGGGGGGUAGAAUUCCAGGUGUAGCGGUGAAAUGCGUAGAGAUCUGGAGGAAUACCGGUGGCGAAGGCGGCCCCCUGGACAAAGACUGACGCUCAGGUGCGAAAGCGUGGGGAGCAAACAGGAUUAGAUACCCUGGUAGUCCACGCCGUAAACGAUGUCGACUUGGAGGUUGUGCCCUUGAGGCGUGGCUUCCGGAGCUAACGCGUUAAGUCGACCGCCUGGGGAGUACGGCCGCAAGGUUAAAACUCAAAUGAAUUGACGGGGGCCCGCACAAGCGGUGGAGCAUGUGGUUUAAUUCGAUGCAACGCGAAGAACCUUACCUACUCUUGACAUCCAGAGAACUUUCCAGAGAUGGAUUGGUGCCUUCGGGAACUCUGAGACAGGUGCUGCAUGGCUGUCGUCAGCUCGUGUUGUGAAAUGUUGGGUUAAGUCCCGCAACGAGCGCAACCCUUAUCCUUUGUUGCCAGCGGUCCGGCCGGGAACUCAAAGGAGACUGCCAGUGAUAAACUGGAGGAAGGUGGGGAUGACGUCAAGUCAUCAUGGCCCUUACGAGUAGGGCUACACACGUGCUACAAUGGCGCAUACAAAGAGAAGCGACCUCGCGAGAGCAAGCGGACCUCAUAAAGUGCGUCGUAGUCCGGAUUGGAGUCUGCAACUCGACUCCAUGAAGUCGGAAUCGCUAGUAAUCGUGGAUCAGAAUGCCACGGUGAAUACGUUCCCGGGCCUUGUACACACCGCCCGUCACACCAUGGGAGUGGGUUGCAAAAGAAGUAGGUAGCUUAACCUUCGGGAGGGCGCUUACCACUUUGUGAUUCAUGACUGGGGUGAAGUCGUAACAAGGUAACCGUAGGGGAACCUGCGGUUGGAUCACCUCCUUACCUUAAAGAA